ensembl:lncRNA
CACUACUAUAUUUCAUUUUGGAAAUACUUCCAAUUAUUGAAAUAAUUUCACAUUUUAAGCGAUAUAACUGUAUAAAAUAAAUGUGAAUGAUUGUUACAGGAGACAGCUUCAGCAAUUGAGUCCAUCAUUACGGAGUUCAGUGGACCUGCAGGCCUUGACAUUGAUGGAAUCCACCUGUUCAAAUCAGCACAGGCAGUGGAUUCUCACUGGGCAACUGCAAGCAAGCAUCUUAGUUGUAUGCAGGACCCCCCUGGCAUACGGUUGUAUGUGUCAGUGAAGGUGGUGAUGCUGAAUGGUGUCCACCUGAACAAGUACAGGUGUCGGCGAGGCAGUAACUCCUUGGAGGGCUUGCACUCACACCUGUACAAUGCCAUUCCCUCACAGAGAUGUGGAGUUAUGCCAUUCCAAGUAAGUAUAAACAGCUUUAAUAUUUAAAAAAAAAAUUGAUUACACAUCAUUGUUCAUAGCCAUAUUUUAUCUCUAUUAUAUCUCUUCCUGUGCGUGUGUGAGCUCUAUGCUGUUCACAUAGCAUCAACUGGGUGUAUGAGAUGCACACACACAAAAUAGCCUAUUGCGGACAAAAGACAAAUUGUAUGUCAUGCUGCUGGGAAAUGUCCACUUUGUAAUCAAAAUUAGUUUCUGAUGUACAAUAAUGCAUGAAUGGUCAUGUCUUUCAGGUGUAUCUGAUUGCGUUUGCUGUGCAGUGGAACAGCUGCAUGGAAUCGCUCCGGGUUGCUGGUGGUCAUGGCAGGCAGACGUGGUGUAUGGACCCACGGCAGAUUCAGCACCUGAAUCAGCAGGCUGAGGUGCUCUUCGGUAAAGAGCAUGUCCUCAAGCCCAACUUUGCCGCUCCAAUGCCCUACCCUGCUGUAUACAAGGACCCAGACGAGGAGGAGCUCCUUGGAGUAGAGUAUGCCAUGUGCCAGUCAACCAGCUUCACUGCAAAGGAUUACUAUGCCCAGCAAGUUGAGGAAGAGCAGUCCCGUGAAGAAGAGGAGACGGCUGAACAAAGUGAGGACAAGCUGGCAGAUGAGGGUGUGGACAUGGGUGCAGAGUCAGAGGAGGAUCCUAUGGACACUGUCAGUGACAAACAUGUCAUCCUCACUCAAUCAGAACAGGUGGAGGAGGAGGACAGUCCUGCUCUGCAGGAUGUGCUGAUGACCCAGAGCCAUCUGCAUCUUCCUGGGCUUGAGGAAGUGGAAGCCUUGGCCCUGCUCAUUUUAGAACUGGCAGACAACAGUGACCGUCACCUAGUGCCAGCUGACCUAAGGCUGAAGAUUGGCACUGCAGUUGGUGCUCUGCAUGAGCAUGACAGGUCUGCAGCCAACUUUGUAAAAAGGUAUGAGUCGAGGUGGGGUUACACCCUGUUUGGCAGAUGCUUGGGAGCUGACACACCUGAGACCAGAGCAGCACAGAAGACAAAGUUUUCCUGGAUGAGGUACCCUCAGGCAGCCCAGGUGACUGAGGAUAGUCGUCUGUUGUACCUCAUUAUUAAGAUGCUGAAAAACCGGCCACCAGCCAGUCGUCUCACCUCCCCCACUAAAAUCACCAAUGCAAUCAAGAGCCAGUAUAAAAGGAUUGUAGACCGAGUCAGAGACGAUCCCAUCCUCAACGGUCUCUACAUUCCUCUGCCCAAUCUGAAUGCCAAGUCCAUCUCUACAUUCAUGGCAGGGGAAGAGAAGAAGGCUAACUACAGGGCAACAGUAAUGCCAAAGGUGAAACCCCACCAAAGAGUGCUGUCAGAAGAACCAAUGCCAGCAGCUCCUACUCUGCCAGAAUCCCUUCCAGCUCCAGAUCGACCUCAGGUUCAGUACCAGAGCCUACGUCAUGUAGCUGGGAAAAGGCAUGGUAAAAAGUAAGUUGUUCAGUUCUUCAUUUCACAAGUAUGUGACUUUACUUCUUUAUUACAAUAUGUGAACAUAUCUGAAUUUAUCAGCUGAAUGGUUUAAACUUAAACACAACAAACCAUGUGAAUUGAUAGUCAUACACAUUAUUUCUCAUGAAUUAUACUCAUCAUCGCAUGUAUGAUUUAUUUUUGCAGGCUAGAUGUGGAAAUGCUUGUGAACCAGCCCAUUCAACCUAAAACCCCUGUGACCACGUACAUCCCACCCAGAGCGUCAGCAGCACCUGUCCUGGUAGUGGUUCCUGCACAGCCACAGGGACCAUCCAUGAUGCUCUGUGGGGCAUCCAGCAGUCAAGGGUUCAUACCUUUCACACCGCCUCCUGCGCUGACAUCCAGACCAAUCAAGCCUCAUAAAUCCAUGAAGCCUUGUGGGGCCUGCCAAGUACCCCAGUGUGGUGGGCAGCGUAAGAGGUACACACCCUCCAAAGACAAGGCUGCCUGAAGUAGCCAAAAAAUAUUUACCUAUUGCCCAGCAACUAGGAAGUCCACCACUUAAGGUUUUGAAGGUGUUGUGUUCAACAGUUUUGAACACUUCAAAAGUGUAGUAGAUGAGGAACUAAAAAAGAAAAAAACUACAACUACAUCUGCAACUACAUCCCCCAAAUCACAAUAGCAGAUUUCUGGGGUAUGGUUUGGACUUGGUUCAGACCUGGAUUAGACUUAGUUUAGAUUUCCCCCUUAUUUGGUCCUGGUUUAGACAUGGUGUGGGUUAGUCAGAAUUACCUGUGCACAGAGAUUUACAUGUCCUCAACAUUAUUUACACUUUGUGGGUUACAAUGUACAAUGUUCAAUUUGUCAUGUUAUUUAUAUUCUCAUUAUAAGGCUAAAAUAUAAUAAGUCAUAUUUGCUACUAUAUCUGCCUCUUAUACCAAUUCACCGAUUCAUUAUACACCAUCUAUAAAACACAUACCUAUUUUCUCAUAGAAAAAAAAAGAUGUGUUUUUAGUGAAUGUAAA